rnacentral:rRNA from 1 species
AUUGAACGCUGGCGGCAUGCCUUACACAUGCAAGUCGAACGGUAACAGGUCUUCGGAUGCUGACGAGUGGCGAACGGGUGAGUAAUACAUCGGAACGUGCCUAGUAGUGGGGGAUAACUACUCGAAAGAGUGGCUAAUACCGCAUGAGAUCUACGGAUGAAAGCAGGGGAUCGCAAGACCUUGUGCUACUAGAGCGGCCGAUGGCAGAUUAGGUAGUUGGUGGGAUAAAAGCUUACCAAGCCGACGAUCUGUAGCUGGGCUGAGAGGACGAUCAGCCACACUGGGACUGAGACACGGCCCAGACUCCUACGGGAGGCAGCAGUGGGGAAUUUUGGACAAUGGGCGCAAGCCUGAUUCAGCAAUGCCGCGUGCAGGAUGAAGGCCUUCGGGCAGUAAACUGCUUUUGUACGGAACGAAAAGCCCUGGGUUAAUACCCUGGGGUCAUGACGGUACCGUAAGAAUAAGCACCGGCUAACUCCGUGCCAGCCGCCGCGGUAA